rnacentral:tRNA from 1 species
GCCCUGGAAACUCAAACGGUGGAGUGCCGCCCUCGUAGCGCGGAAGAGUCGGUUCGAUCCCGACCCAGGGCU